rnacentral:rRNA from 1 species
GACGAACGCUGGCGGCGUGCUUAACACAUGCAAGUCGAACGGAAAGGCCCUGCUUUUGUGGGGUGCUCGAGUGGCGAACGGGUGAGUAACACGUGAGUAACCUGCCCUUGACUUUGGGAUAACUUCAGGAAACUGGUGCUAAUACCGGAUAGGAGCUCCUGCUGCAUGGUGGGGGUUGGAAAGUUUCGGCGGGUGGGGAUGGACGCGCGGCUUAUCAGCUUGUUGGUGGGGUAGUGGCUUACCAAGGCUUUGACGGGUAGCCGGCCUGAGAGGGUGACCGGCCACAGUGGGACUGAGAUACGGCCCAGACUCCUACGGGAGGCAGCAGUGGGGAAUAUUGCACAAUGGGCGGAAGCCUGAUGCAGCAACGCCGCGUGCGGGAUGACGGCCUUCGGGUUGUAAACCGCUUUCGCCUGUGACGAAGCGUGAGUGACGGUAAUGGGUAAAGAAGCACCGGCUAGCUACGUG